rnacentral:rRNA from 1 species
GACGUAGGUGGCGAACGUUAUCCGGAAUUAUUGGGCGUAAAGGAUGCGUAGAUGGUGUAGUAAGUUAUCGGUGGCAAAUCGAGGCUCAACCUCGUGGAAGUCGGUAAUACUGUUAUGCUAGAGGAUAGGAGAGGUUAACGGAACUCCCUGUGGAGCGGUGAAAUGCGUAGAUAUAGGGAAGAACACCAAUCAGGCGAAGGCAGUUAACUAUUCUAUUCCUGACAUUGAGGCAUGAAAGCGUUGGGGAGCAAAACGG